GCCUAGUGGUUAGAGUGUAGAGGUGGCAGGUAGCCUAGUGUUUAGAGUGUAGAGGUGGCAGGGUAGCCUAGUGGUUAGAGUGUAGAGGUGGCAGGGUAGCCUAGUGGUUAGAGUGUAGGGGCGGCAGGGUAGCCUAGUGGUUAGAGUGUAGAGGUGGCAGGGUAGCCUAGUGGUUAGAGUGUAGAGGUGGCAGGGUAGCCUAGUGGUUAGAGUGUAGAGGUGGCAGGGUAGCCUAGUGGUUAGAGUGUAGAGGUGGCAGGGUAGCCUAGUGGUUAGAGUGUAGAGGUGGCAGGGUAGCCUAGUGGUUAGAGCGUUGGACUAGUAACCGGAAGGUUGCAAGUUCAAAUCCCCGAGCUGACAAGGUACUAAUCUGUCGUUCUGCCCCUGAACAGGCAGUUAACCCACUGUUCCCAGGCCGUCAUUGAAAAUAAGAAUUUGUUCUUAACUGACUUGCCUU